CUUUUACAGAUCAAUGUACUAAAAGCAAGUCUGAACAUCCAGUAUAAGAUGCCUGUUCUGAGAAAUCAAAUUAAAAGGUCUAGGGAAAGAAACGAAAAGGCUGACUUGAAAAUCUAGUGCCCUUGAGAAAGGAGAUGAAUAGGCAUUUUACUGGUUUGGACAGGAUUUGGGUACAGUUUAUGUGAAGGUUUGAAACAGCAGAAACCAUGAGGUGAAUUAUAAAAACAAAGAAAUGAGCAAAAUCUUACUCUUCUCAUGCCAAACAGCAGGACUUGUGGUUGUAAGCGGUCUCCCAAGCAGCAAGUGCACAUCUCCUGCAGUGUGCGGAGUCUCACAAGUGCAGGUUAGAACAAGAAAGCAUAAAAGUGAAAAUAAGAGCUAGCAAAUCAUACGUUGCAGAUGAAAUGGAAAUGACUAGAAAGGAAGAAAUCAGAUAAGAGGCCACUGAUGUCUACCUUCAUGGUUUGAGGUUUGAGAUAUUCAUUUACUGAAUUUUCUGCCUUCUCCUGAGCAGUACCUCCCUGGCAAGUGUCUCCUCCAAAUAUUUGUGACUGACAAAAAGCAAUGAAAAAAUACAAGUCUCCAACAUACCGAAGAUCAUGACUUAAUUGGUGUGGUGUGGUGUGGUGUGGUGUGGUGUGGUGUGGUGUGGUGUGGUGUGGUGUGGUGUGGUGUGGUGUGGUGUGGUGUGGUGUGGCAGGGGAGGCUGCAGGGGAAUGCUUUGCCCCUCAGAGCAACGCUCUGCAUCCAUGUUCCCCCCUGUAGUGCUUAUGGGGGGACAACUCUUUUUCCUUUUAUUUAUUUAUUUUUCUUUCUUCUGUAAGACCCAGUUUCCAUUUGAGUGACUAGCAGCACCACUGCACU
rnacentral:lncRNA from 1 species